rnacentral:lncRNA from 1 species
GGAGGUUUGCAUUAUCCGAUGUGCAAGCGUCACUGAUAGGCUAGUUAUAAUAAGACCAUUUCCUGUCGUCCGUCUGUCAUAGCAGCAGGCAACAACAUAGUUGCAGCACUUGUAUUCCUUUUUCAAGUACAAGCCGUCAUGUUUUGCCUACUCUGUCUUGAGAACAAUUUCUAGCCGCCCUAAAUCUCGUUAUCCAGGCAAGUCACUGGAACCAUAAAGUUUUUCCCGGAUAAAUUGGUACGGUUUUUGGAGGAUUUAUUUACUGAUUUCUGCUGCCUGGGGUUCAUCAUUACUCAUAUUGUGUUUCAUUCGAGCUGAGACUUGAGAUUUGUGGUAGCACGUUUGUUUCGAUUUGAAAACUUUGAAAUGCUGGAGCGCAGGCAUGCAAAGGACAGAGUUUUGUAGGCACCUGGGGUUUGUCUUGUUAUGGUUAUGUACCUUAGAUCUCUCAGGAUUCUGUACUGCGAAAUAUGCUCUUGCAUCUACUAGCAAGCAUCGUUGUUGUGACGUUCCAUUGUUCUGCAAUAGGUUUGUCUGUUCUAAACUUCCAUGAUCUGCUCUAAGUAGUUUCAGUAAAAAAAAUGGUCAGAAAUGCGUUCUUUGCAGUUCUCAUUGAUGUUUACUUUUAGAAGUUGUCAUCAACAAAUAAGGCACACUUAAAUUGAUUUGCGGGGGUCGCGCUUUCCAAUUGAAUUGGUUGUUUUGUCUCCAUUUUGUUGGUAAUUGGAUUUUUCUGAUAGAAUAUUACUACAGUUCAUUAUCAUCGCGAAUACGUUUAUAUAUUAAAUGGUACAAUGACAUCUGGGGAUGACGUGCAGGGCCAGAGUUGACAUUUCAACUACGGUCAGUGCUGAAUACCAUCUUUGAACGCUCUGAACAGUGACAUUACUAUUUGGCACUAUUCAACGCUGAUUUUGUGUUUUUCAUAGUUCACAUCUGUGUUUUAACUUGAAAUUUUGUGUGGCAAUAAAACAUCAUCCUCUUAACAUCCUGCAUUUUUUUGAAACUUCAAAACAUCUUUUUCUUGUGGUUUUCAUCGGUUUCCAUCGAAUGUUGGUUUCCGUAUGAUGUAUGAUAUUCUCCCCUGAAAGUCAUUAGUAAAGCCCUUAGGGCAUCUCAAGGUAACAAACAUUUUUAUUUCCACUGACACAUCUGGAUGUGUUUGUGGAUAGCCGGCCGGGCACCGGUCCUCCAAGGCUAGCCCUCAAAUGGUGUACACUAGUGGUUGGGGCGCCAUCCUGUGGCUUCGCUUGAAAGGAAGUUGUGCGCAUGUUUUCAUUUAAGAAAAAUAUGUGGCCCUUGCUUCUAUCUAAAAAACAUCUUAGAAAAAAAAUCCUCACCGCCAUCCGAAAAUGAAAUUUUCUUAUCAUCGUAGUCUACCGGGGAGCGCCACUUUGCAUAAUCCUUCAUUUAAAAAAUACACUUUGCAUAACCCGCCACUUUGUGGGUUUUUGACCACCAUCUAAAAAACAUUUAAAAAAAUCCUCACAUCUAUCUAAAAAAUAUUACAAAAGCUUUCUCAUGAUGGCCGACUAGUUUGCACAAGUGGCAUAGCUGGUUGGCCGCCAAUCUCACGAUGCUUAAUGGGUUUAAUUUGAAACCGUAAAUUUAGAAGAAAUUUAGACUAGUUUGAUAUAUUACAUGCAAAUUUGACAAUUUAACUAGUUCCAUAUAUUGCAUCCCAAGAUAACCUAAACUACAACAAAACUAGAUUGAACAGUGAAUGGCAACAUCGUAGGCAUGGCCUCCAAGGCUAAUGAGAGCGUUGUCGUCGUCACGCUAGUUGCGGAAGCCACCCCGGCCACUGCGGCAUNNNNNNNNNNNNNNNNNNNNNNNNNNNNNNNNNNNNNNNNNNNNNNNNNNNNNNNNNNNNNNNNNNNNNNNNNNNNNNNNNNNNNNNNNNNNNNNNNNNNNNNNNNNNNNNNNNNNNNNNNNNNNNNNNNNNNNNNNNNNNNNNNNNNNNNNNNNNNNNNNNNNNNNNNNNNNNNNNNNNNNNNNNNNNNNNNNNNNNNNNNNNNNNNNNNNNNNNNNNNNNNNNNNNNNNNNNNNNNNNNNNNNNNNNNNNNNNNNNNNNNNNNNNNNNNNNNNNNNNNNNNNNNNNNNNUGUCUCCCUCACGCCUCCUCCACCGCCUUUCGCAAGCGGCGACGACGUGCCUCCAUGCUGCCCUGGGUUGGAGCUUGAGCUCCCUCAGCCGUUCAUAUGUCAUCCCCGCGAGGCGACAUCACCUUUGAGUGUUACACACCAAGGUACCACAUGUUGUGGGUGAGCUCCUCCUAUAUCAUCUUCUCCUUACCCAUUGCGAUGGGGCGAUGGCCGACACCGGUGGUGCGGCGACUAGGGUUUUGGGAGAGGAGGAGAGUGGAGUGACAGUGACAGUGAGAGGUUGGGCCCAAUUAAAAAAGCAGUGGAUGUCGAGUUAUCGGACUGACAUGGCAGACGUUCGGACUGGUCUACUCCGCCUCUUUGGGGCCGAAUUGGGGGAUUUCAAACGUCCACAAUAUCCAAUGCAAUAUAGGCGUUCGCGUUGGAGAAUAGAAGUGUCUGGACUGUUGCGGUAUGAACAUAUAAAGGUUGGAUAGGAAUCCACGAUCACGGCAUCUCCAACAUUGAUCCUUAAAUUUCCUCCCGCAUCCGUCCGCGAAAAGAACGGACCAGUCAGUGAACACGGAUGCGGGAACCGGCCUUCCAACGCCAACCACAUACAUUUCAAACACUCUUUAAACAAACAAGAAAAAUCACAUGCAAAUCAAAUGAUUUUCAUAUAAUAACCGGAGCACAUUUAUUACAUUUCAAACAAUUUUUCAUUAAAAAAAGGAGACCUGACCUAAACCUAGACUAUGGCAGUGUUCACUGUCCAACUCCUUGGUGUUCCCUCCCGGCGACAGCGUCCCCCAUCUAUCAUCCCCAUGAGCGGUAGUAACAAGACCCAUAAAAUGAAUGUGCAGUCUCCGGUGACGAAGAGUAAAACAUGAGAGGCGGACCGGCCCACUUGAGAUACAAGGUCUUGCCGCCUCCCAUGCCCUACUCAUUCCGAGAGAAGUCUUUGACUUGUACAUCGCUGGCGGAUGUGAGGUCCAUGAUAAAAAUGAAGGGGCCAACACUGUUGUCGUUCCACCGGUGUGGCCAAACAGUGUUUGGCGGCGUGUAGGCCACACAACUCGCGAUGUUCUGGUCCGUGAUCGGCUGCGCAGCCAGUGUCGCUCCCGCGUCUGCGUUCACGCCCGGCUAUGCUGCCUGUGUGUUGCGAGCGGCGGCUUGAGUAUGGACGACCUCAUAGAGUGCUUGCUGCUCGGGGACGAAGUUAGGGGUCACGUCGCCCUCGUAGAGUGUGGUGGGGUGAUCGUAGUUCCAUCGCUGUUUGCUGCCCCUCCUCCUCACGGCAUCGGAUUCAGAUCGGACAAUUGCUUCCCAAAAGUCUAUGCGUCACGAGCGUGCGUGCCUAGCCUAGUCGAUCUCUCGACACGCAUUUUCAGCGGGCGACGUCUAGGACGGCACCAAUUUCAGCCCACCACGCCGUUCCUUCCUUCGGGAUCGCCGGAAAUUCAUGCGUUCUCAGCCCGGCCACCGGCCUGGAGCUGUUUUUUCCCACCCCCCACGUGCAACAAUCUGCACUUACUAACACUUGUUUCCAGAGCUUCCGUUUACUCCGCGGUGCAGGAUUCUGAAUGCAUUCAUGAUGCGUGCAGCGUGCAUGCGAUUCAGGUCGCCAUGCAAUGCAUGCGGCCACGAGAUGGAGAACGUCCGCUUCAUCGACAUGGGCAUCGUGACUGAUUGAUUCUUAUGCGUGCACGGGCGUGUUCUGCCGGCAGUACGUGUCGUUGCCCGAUCUACUACUAGUAGACUGGCAUCAGUAACUGUUGCCCAUUCCCUUCCCAUAUCUACGUACUCCGCCGGUGGAUCCGCUGCGUUGCGUCCUGGACUGGACUGGCCUUGCCCAGGGAAGGAAUCGUCCUGUGACCCUUGGAGCGUUAUGCCAUGCAAAGUGUACUACUCCUACUAAUCAAAAGUCAUUCUGGCCUUUUCUCGCCGUUGGGAGGAGCUCGUGAUGCAGGGCCCCCUUGAUUUUCUACAUCCGGCCAUUGUGCGUGUGUACACAUACAGGGCAUGUUUCCCAGAAAAUGCUGCCAGGCUGCCUUUUCCCCCCCUCCUCCUCAAAUGUAAUGUCGUAUGACAUUUAUCAAAAAUGAUUUUCAAGUGUGGAUCAUUUCAAACUUUUCUAUUUUUCUGAAUUUUACCAUUCACCGAACUCACAUGAGCUCGAGGUAAGGAACUCGACGUCCUAGAAGAAGACGAUGAUCCAAUUCUUCCACGUAAUCCAGCAGCAUGAAUUUGGAGGUGGUUCAAGGGUGGACGCGGUGGGUGCAGACGUGCAGUGCCGGUGUGGAGAGAACAGAGACUAGCGUGCCGCAGGGAUAUACGGUAAAUGACAUGCAUGUGGAUGAUGGACCAGAAGAACAUCCCUAUUAAGUUUACCAAGAUUUCUGAUGAUCCAUGUAAUAAUACCAGGAAAACCCACCAUAACCCACCACAACGGCAAUAUAGAACGAACCAAAGUUUGCUGUCUUGGAAGAUCUCGACAAAGUGGGUGUGCCGUGCAUGUGUGCGUGCGUACGUACACCAUGCUCAUGCAUGUCCAGGUUGUUGUUGGGGUUAGCAAACCUUUUUCCAGACGUUUUGUACGUCGCAAAAGGAGCAGCCCAAUAAUUCCAUGCGUGGUUUGUUUGCUUGAGCCAGCCCCCCUUUUGCAUGCGGCCAAGAUCGGGGCCAACAUGUCGAUCCAGCUUGUGACGAGGCGCCUUUUAGUUUCUUUCGCCUCGUAGGCCAGCUGCUGCUGGUACGUAGGAUAAGAUCACACCGCAAGCAAAGUGGGUUUGUGCAAGCGUCCUUGGGUCGGGUGUGUGGGUGUGAUUCAUAUCGUUCAUUCCCCGCUGGCCAUUUAACAACCGCAAAACACCUAGAGCAGCUCGAGUCGUAUAUUGUUUUCAUCUAUUUUUUCAUGUUAAUCUUCAAAUGGAUGCGCAUACUAACCUUAGUUCAAAACUACAGCACUUAUUUUAGAUCCGAAGGAGUACAUAAUUUUUUUUGUUCGCCAGUUACAAGUAGCUACGUCUAAAACACUCACUUGUCAGAAUUACAGAAGAAUCCAUCUGCUGAAAGAAUAGGGUUUUUUUCUUUCACCUGCAAAAAGAAAAGAAUAAUAAUUCCUAAAUAUAAGUCUUUUUAGAGAUUUCAAAUAUAAACUACAUACGGAGCAAAAUGAGUGAAUCUACACUUUAAAAUAUGCCUAUAUACAUAUGUGUGUAGUUCGUAUUGAAAUCUUAAAAAGACUUAUACUCCAUGCAUGCAGUAGGGAGUAUUUCAUGCAUGCAUUCAUGAAAUACAAACUAUGUAGACGGAGUAUUUAUGAAUGGAGAAAGUAAAUAAAAGAACAGUACUAUCCCAUGCAUGCAUUCAUGCACGGGUCUUCUCCCGUUCACCGCGGAUCCUAUGAUUGCAGCGGCGCCGGCACAUCAUGCACCCACGCCACACGCCGUGCAUGUAUGUGUGCCGCGAGAAUCGAAUGUACGGUCAUUAAUCCAACCACUAAUGUAUAACCUUACAGAUUACAGCAUCGAUUCCUACUACCAGACAAAUUCUGACAAGGCAAGGAGUCGGUCACUCUUAUACAGGUCUGUGGUAAAGAUCUGUCUGAGCUGCAGAGAAAUGUCUCAUCCCCUGACUUGUCCGAGGAUAAGGAGCGUAUGCUUUGACACGGACGUACUGUAGUAGACAACAAGUAUAGCACACUCACAGUACAUAAUUAUGUAGGGCCAUCACCCAUAGUAAGAACAUUUCUCGGGCUCUCGGGGAGAAAUUGUGCCGUUAAAUCUGCCACGGAAGAAUAGUCUUGCAGUAGCAAAUUAACAAGCGUUCAUACAAGGAUUUACGGCCGCAUGUGAUCAUUGAAGACUGCAAAAUCCAAGGCAGCCAAGCGAAAUGCGGAAUACUGGAUCUAGUCGACUUCAGGACGUCCUUGAGACCAUGUGACAGCCAACGGACACGUACGGUGCGGCAGAGCUGAUGUGCAAGUGUAACUGGUACGCGUUGUCGCUUUGUCGUGCCACGUCCGCCCUACACGCUGUUGGUUACGCCGUGUUUUGCGUCGAUCUCGUCUGUUUCACGACGACCGUUCAAAAAUGAUGCUCAAAAGCGAGGAUGUGAGUGGCUUGGUUUUGCUUGUGAUCGGUUUUAGCUAAUGAGAUCUCCCUUUCGAUGUCCCUCAUCAGGUGUACAUAUUUUGGUAAGUAUGGACCAUCACCGCUAAUUAGCAGAAGCGCUUCUGACAGUCACGCUCCAAGAUGGAUGGCAGCUCUACCCACUCAAGUAUGAGUUGGAUUCGCUCCUGCCGAGUUGAGCUUUCAGAACAUUUAGAAGGCACCUGGCAAGUAGGUCCAGGGUGAUUCAUGUACUUAGCGGGUUUCCCAUUUAGUACUCCUUCCGUCUCAAAAUUCCAGACGAAUCUAAGACAAAAAUUUUGGGACGGAGGGAGUAGUUGGUUUGCACGUUAUUGGGUGUGUGCAUUCACCACAGAUGCAGAGACCGGGACCUUUGAUUGAACUCAACCUGACAAGUCAACAAGAGUCUUUCACUUAAAAAAGUUGCGAAAAUCCAUCUCUGUACCCAAGCUCAUCUACACCCGCGCUGACGAAAAAAAAA